GACGAACGCUGGCGGCGUGCUUAACACAUGCAAGUCGAGCGGUAAGGCUCCUUCGGGAGUACACGAGCGGCGAACGGGUGAGUAACACGUGAGCAAUCUGCCCUUCACUUUGGGAUAACUCCGGGAAACCGGUGCUAAUACCGAAUGCGACCACUUCAGGCAUCUGACGGUGGUGGAAAGUUCCGGCGGUGAAGGAUGAGCUCGCGGCCUAUCAGCUUGUUGGUGAGGUAAUGGCUCACCAAGGCUUCGACGGGUAGCCGGCCUGAGAGGGUGACCGGCCACACUGGGACUGAGACACGGCCCAGACUCCUACGGGAGGCAGCAGUGGGGAAUAUUGGACAAUGGGCGAAAGCCUGAUCCAGCAACGCCGCGUGAGGGAUGACGGC
rnacentral:rRNA from 1 species